AACGCGAAGAACCUUACCAGGCCUUGACAUCCCGUGCUACGUCCAGAGAUGGGCGGUCCCCGCAAGGGGCGCGGAGACAGGUGCUGCAUGGCUGUCGUCAGCUCGUGUCGUGAGAUGUUGGGUUAAGUCCCGCAACGAGCGCAACCCUCGCCUUUAGUUGCCAUCAUUCAGUUGGGCACUCUAAAGGGACCGCCGGCGACAAGCCGGAGGAAGGUGGGGAUGACGUCAAGUCCUCAUGGCCCUUACGGCCUGGGCUACACACGUGCUACAAUGGCGGUGACAGUGGGCAGCGACCACGCGAGUGGAUGCGAAUCCCAAAAAACCGUCCCAGUUCAGAUUGCACUCUGCAACUCGGGUGCAUGAAGGUGGAAUCGCUAGUAAUCGCAGAACAGCAGGCUGCGGUGAAUACGUUCCCGGGCCUUGUA
rnacentral:rRNA from 1 species